AGCAUGUUCCAGAGAUUUCUGUAAGUCUUUAGCUGACACUCCAGGAUUCCUCUUAACCUCAUUGAGCAUUCUGCUCUGUGCUCUUGCAGUCAUCUUUGCUGGACAUCCACUCCUAGGGAGAGUGGCAACAGUGCUGAACUUUCUCAAUUUAUAGACAAUUUGUCUUAAUGUGGAUUGAUGAACAUCAAGGCUUUUAGAGAUACUUUGGGCAAGGCAGCUCUAACCAACAUCUGCAAUCUCGUCUCAUUGAUUGGACUCCAGGGUCAUCGCUACUUGGGAAACACAAGGACAAAGAAGAUGAGAUUGAAAUGGAGGAAGUUGGAGUCACCACGUGAUGCUGCUGCCCCUCAGCUUUUUAACUGGAAGGACACUGGUGGACUGUCAGCUCUCAGACCUUUGUCAGAGGACGACACUAUAGACAUGUCACCUGUGCACCAGGCAGACAAUAGCUGCCCCCACGGUGACAAGGAUAGGCAGAUGCUGGAGAGACUGGACAUGCUGCUGAGUCUGCAAACAGGGCUGAUGGACAAUCACACCCUCGCCCUCACAGGAGACAUACAUAUACACUCAACGGCCACUUUAUUAGGCACACUGCCCGUUCACGAAAAUGGAUCGCUCCUACAGACAGUAUAAAGCAGGCUGACAGGCAUUGAGGCAUUCAGUUACUCUUUCGAGUGAACAUUAGAAUGGGCAAAAUGAGUGACCUAAGUGACUUUGAGCGUGAUAUGAUCGUCGGUGCCAGGCGUGCCGGAUUCAGUAUCUCAGAAACGUCCGCCCUCUUGGGCUUUUCACGCACAACACUGUCUAGGUUUUACCGAGAAUGGUGCGACAAACAAAAAACAUCCAUUCAGUGGCAAUCCUGUGGGCAAAAACAGCUUGUUGAUGUGAGAGGUUAAAUGUGAAUAGCAAGAAUCAUGCAAUCUAACAGGCGGGCCACAAACAGACAAAUAAUGGCACAGUGCAACAGUGGUGUGCAGAACGACAUAUCGGAAUGCACAUCUCGUCGAUCCUUGUCAUGGAUGGGCUAUUGCAGCAGAUGAUCACACCAGGUACCUCAUUAAAAACAAGAAGAUGCGGCUUCAUUGAGGAUGUGAUCACCAACACUGAACAAUUGAGGAGUGGAAAAACAUUGCCUGGUCCUACGAAUCCCUGUUCCUUUUGCGUCAUAGACGCAUUCUGCCUGGUGUGAACUGGUGGUGGUGUAUCGCUGUUCAAUCUGCAGCAACUACGUAAUGCCAUCACGUCAGCAUGGACCAACAUUCCUGUGGAACAUUUCCAACUUGUAGAAUCAAUGCCCCAGAGAAUUCAGGCUGUUCUGGAGGCAAAAGGGGUCCGACGAGCUACACAAAGUACUCAAACAUUUGUAAAAUAAACACUAAUAUAUCUUGAUUACUUGAGUAUUCAACCCCCUGAGUUAAUACAUGUUAGAAACACCUUUGGCAACGAUUACAGCUGUGAGUUUUUCUGGGUAAGUCUCUAAGAGCUUUGCACACUUGGAUUGUACAAUUUUGGCCUGUUAUUCUUUGAAAAAUUCUUCAAGCUCUGUCAAGUUGGACAGCCAUUUUCAAGUCUUGCAAUAGAUUUUCAAGCCGAUUUAGGUCAAAACUGUAACUAGGACACUCAGGAACAUUCAAUGUCAUCUUGGUAAGCAACUCCAGUGUAUAUUUAGCCUUGUGUUUUAGGUUGUUGUCCUGCUGAAAGGUGCAUUUGUCUCCCAGUGUGGCUCAGUUGGUAGAGCAUGGUGUUUGCAACGCCAGGGUUGUGGGUUCCACGGGGGACAGGGUUGUGGGUCCCAUGGUGGACCAGUAUGGGGAAAAAAAUGUAUGAAAUGUAUGGAUUCACUAUUGUAAGUCGCUCUGGAUAAGAGCGUCUGCUAAAUGACUAAAAUGUAAAUGUAAAUGCAGACACCGGAGGCAGAUGGUUUCAGUCUCCGAUAUUUAUUGAACAGGGCAGGCAAGAGGCAGGUCGAGGACAGGCAAGGUUCAUAAACCAGGUCAGAGUCCUGAAGGUGCACUGUGUCUGAUGGAAAGCAGACUGAACCAGAUUUUCUUUUAGGAUUUUGCCUGUGCCAAAAAAACUCCCUAGUCCUUGCCGAUAACAAGCAUACACAUAACAUGAUGCAACCACCAUCAUGCUUGAAAAUAUGAAGAGUGGCACUCAGGUAUGUGUUGUGUUGGAUUUGUACCAAACAUAAUGCUUUGUAUUCAGGAUAUAAAGUUAAUUUCUUUGCCACAUUGUUUUGCUGUUUUACUUUAGUGCCUUAUUGUAAACAAGAUGCAUGUUUUGAAAUAUGUGUUAUUCUGUAAAGGCUUCCUUCUUUUCACUGUCAAUUAGGUUAGUAUUGUG
rnacentral:lncRNA from 1 species